UACGUAGGGAGCAAGCGUUGUCCGGAUUUACUGGGUGUAAAGGGUGCGUAGGCGGCUUUGCAAGUCAGAAGUGAAAUCCAUGGGCUUAACCCAUGAACUGCUUUUGAAACUGCAGAGCUUGAGUGGAGUAGAGGUAGGCGGAAUUCCCAGUGUAGCGGUGAAAUGCGUAGAGAUCGGGAGGAACACCAGUGGCGAAGGCGGCCUACUGGGCUCUAACUGACGCUGAGGCACGAAAGCGUGGGUAGCAAACAGG
rnacentral:rRNA from 1 species